rnacentral:rRNA from 1 species
GUGGGGAAUUUUGGACAAUGGGCGAAAGCCUGAUCCAGCCAUGCCGCGUGCAGGAUGAAGGCCUUCGGGUUGUAAACUGCUUUUGUACGGAACGAAAAGACUCCUUCUAAUAAAGGGGGUCCAUGACGGUACCGUAAGAAUAAGCACCGGCUAACUACGUGCCAGCAGCCGCGGUAAUACGUAGGGUGCAAGCGUUAAUCGGAAUUACUGGGCGUAAAGCGUGCGCAGGCGGUUUUGUAAGACAGGCGUGAAAUCCCCGGGCUCAACCUGGGAAUUGCGCUUGUGACUGCAAGGCUGGAGUGCGGCAGAGGGGGAUGGAAUUCCGCGUGUAGCAGUGAAAUGCGUAGAUAUGCGGAGGAACACCGAUGGCGAAGGCAAUCCCCUGGGCCUGCACUGACGCUCAUGCACGAAAGCGUGGGGAGCAAACAGGAUUAGAAACCCCUGUAGUCC